rnacentral:rRNA from 1 species
UACGUAGGGGGCAAGCGUUGUCCGGAAUCAUUGGGCGUAAAGCGCGUGUAGGCGGCCAGAAAAGUCCGCUGUGAAAACUCGAGGCUCAACUUCGAGCUGUCGGUGGAAACUUUCUGGCUAGAGUCCGGAAGAGGAGAAUGGAAUUCCUGGUGUAGCGGUGAAAUGCGCAGAUAUCAGGAAGAACACCCGUGGCGAAGGCGGUUCUCUGGGCCUUACCUGACGCUGAGGAGCGAAAGCGUGGGUAGCGAACAGG